UACGUAGGGUGCGAGCGUUGUCCGGAAUUACUGGGCGUAAAGAGCUCGUAGGUGGUUUGUCGCGUUGUUCGUGAAAACCUGAGGCUUAACCUUGGGCGUGCGGGCGAUACGGGCAGACUGGAGUACUGCAGGGGAGACUGGAAUUCCUGGUGGUAGCGGUGGAAUGCGCAGAUAUCAGGAAGAACACCCGUGGCGAAGGCGGCUCUCUGGGACGGUACUGACGCUGAGACGCGAAAGCGUGGGGAG
rnacentral:rRNA from 1 species